rnacentral:tRNA from 1 species
GGAUGUGUGCCUGAGCCUUAAGGAUUGCAUUGAUAGUGCAAAUACAGAGUUAACCCUCUCACCUCCU